UACGGGGGGGGCAAGCGUUGUUCGGAAUUACUGGGCGUAAAGGGCUUGUAGGUGGCCAACUAAGUCAGACGUGAAAUCCCUCGGCUUAACCGGGGAACUGCGUCUGAUACUGGAUGGCUUGAGUGUGGGAGAGGGAUGCGGAAUUCCAGGUGUAGCGGUGAAAUGCGUAGAUAUCUAGAGGAAUACCAAAGGCGUAGGCAGGUCACUGGACAGUUACUGACACUGAGGCACGAAGGCCAGGGGAGCGAACGGG
rnacentral:rRNA from 1 species